ACUAACUUUUCAUUCAUAAUUUUUAUACAAAUAACGUAUCAAGCUACAAAGACUAAAUGCAGUUUAUGUGCUACAUACUGUCUUUACUUUUACUUUUAUUACUGGUUUAAAACAAAGCAAACAAUUCAAGUGGGUUAGGGCUUUCUUCUUUAACCUAUUGUGUCCUAGGUUCAAACUUUUUUCUUCUCUUAUUGUAAAAUAAGUGUAGAAUUAUCCUCUAUAAUUAGAAAACAAAGGAAACAAAUGUAAAUGAAAACACAAAAAAAGGAACCAAAGAGAAGAACACACAGACAACCAAGAUGAAUUGAUCAGCAAUGAAAAAUUAGACUAGAAAAGGGAAGGAGGAUAAGCCUAUGAGGGAACGAUGUAGAGAAACAAAAGCAAAUAAUUUCAACAAAAAACAGAAAAGCAAAGAUAAAUAAACUGAUGUGGUAUUAGUUUCUAUAAGCUAGGGCCCAAAAA
rnacentral:lncRNA from 1 species